CUGGCGGCAGGCCUAACACAUGCAAGUCGAGCGCAGUCCUUCGGGACCGAGCGGCGGACGGGUUAGUAACGCGUGGGAACAUACCCUUUUCUACGGAAUAGCCUCGGGAAACUGAGAGUAAUACCGUAUAAGCCCUUCGGGGGAAAGAUUUAUCGGGAAAGGAUUGGCCCGCGUUAGAUUAGAUAGUUGGUGGGGUAAUGGCCUACCAAGUCUACGAUCUAUAGCUGGUUUUAGAGGAUGAUCAGCAACACUGGGACUGAGACACGGCCCAGACUCCUACGGGAGGCAGCAGUGGGGAAUCUUAGACAAUGGGCGCAAGCCUGAUCUAGCCAUGCCGCGUGUGUGAUGAAGGUCUUAGGAUCGUAAAGCACUUUCGCCAGGGAUGAUAAUGACAGUACCUGGUAAAGAAACCCCGGCUAACUCCGUGCCAGCAGCCGCGGUAAUACGGAGGGGGUUAGCGUUGUUCGGAAUUACUGGGCGUAAAGCGUACGUAGGCGGAUCAGAAAGUAGGGGGUGAAAUCCCAGGGCUCAACCCUGGAACUGCCUCCUAAACUCCUGGUCUUGAGUUCGAGAGAGGUGAGUGGAAUUCCAAGUGUAGAGGUGAAAUUCGUAGAUAUUUGGAGGAACACCAGUGGCGAAGGCGGCUCACUGGCUCGAUACUGACGCUGAGGUACGAAAGUGUGGGGAGCAAACAGGAUUAGAUACCCUGGUAGUCCACACCGUAAACGAUGAAUGCCAGUCGUCGGGCAGUAUACUGUUCGGUGACACACCUAACGGAUUAAGCAUCCG
rnacentral:rRNA from 1 species